CUUCGCCCACUCAUCAUCAUUCACUUCGUGGAUAUGGCGAUUCUUUUUUUCUCCUACAUGAACUGGAGCUUUAUGAACAAACAAGUUGUUGAUAUGUUAUGCUCAUUUUAUUGUUUGUCAUUUCUAGAUUUUGAACGGUGCUCUGGCAGGUGAACAAGCUUUGACCGCGCUUGCAAUCACUGCGCUUGAGUGUGAACAAGAUAAAGACAUUGAAGAAGAGGCUGACCUUUGCGCUGUCGAAACAGACAUUGAAGGCUCAGGAAGUGACGAUGAAUCUGCUUCCUACCCGGCUUGUGGUCACAAAGAACCGAAGACAUCGUCCAAAUACGUGCAAGCGGAUUUGACGAAAGCCUAUGCACAAAAGGCCACAAUGACAACAGGUCUACACAGAACCUGUGGUGCUCAGACAGAUGAGUAGCUUUCAGCCAGUGCUUGUCUGCAGUUGCACACCAAUCAUGGAUUGAGCACCACACUAUGACUAGACUUCACCUUGCCCAGAGUACGGAAACACAAGUGACACCAUCAAGUGCCUGCAAGCAUGGAUACGAUUUCAGAGAUGCGAUCCUGUUCACAAGUUCAAGCCCCCCCCCCCCCAAAAAAAAAGCACUGCGCCUAGCAUUGGUGCAAUUCACCAUUGGUGUGGCGAAGCUUCAGCUCUACUUCGUCAUUCAGGCUACCCUGUGGUUUCCAUCUGUGCACAAGAACUGAGGCACCUAACAAGUGAAGCCUCUGGACAGCCACUCAGUCUGGCAGGAGGUGGCAGAUACGACUGUCCAAGGUUCAGUGCCAAGUAUCUGAUGUGCACAUCGACGGACACUAACCACGACAUCAUCUUGCAUACAGAGCUUGUGCAGGGACUUCAGCGCCCUGGAAGUCGACACUGUUCCCUCGGAUGCCCACCCAGGACGUCAACCCUGAUCACCCAAAAAAAGCCGAACAGCGCACAGACCCACCCGAGAUUUUGGCAACAGGAAAACCACCACUUCCACCGUUGCACUGUUACAACAGUCGGAGCGGAGCGCCUACACAGAAACGACAGUCAGAGCAGUGUCUUCGAACUGACUCAAGAACACAAAAGGUUCGCCCCAGCUCAGACACACAUGGUCUCAGUCAUAUCUAUCAGUCAUAAAAACAAUUGUGAAGCAUAUGCAAUAUAAGCAACACAACAAACAGUUAUCUAAAUACCUCUCUUGCCGAGUUGCACCGAAAUGACUGCGCCUAGCUUGCACUCCCUCUACGUCCACUCUCAAGUAAGCAUAAAAAAGAGGUGUAAAAAAAUUUAACUGACGAUUCUUUGAAACUAACACAAGUCAUUGCAGACCAUAGUAUGCGUAAGGUCGCCAAACUAAUUGUAGCCGAGACAUCACAGAAAUAGUUGUCGAAUCUUGGUGACCAUGAAACAAGUGAGCUGAAAAAGUAUGAGGCAAAAAAAAAAGAAGAAAUUUCAAAAGAAAAGUACCAAAAAUUUGACUGGAAUAGCAAUUUGCAUGCCGGAAGUAGCAACUGUUUUCCAAAAGAUGGUCAGACACCUACUUGACUGCCCACUAUAACUAAGGAGAGUAAAGAUGUUUGAAAACAAAAACAGCAAGAUUUCGACUGGCAGCAGUAUCCCCAUUACGAUCCCGCACUCUGGAGGUAGUGAUCUCUUUCCACAUGAUACUCAAGUGCCUUAUCUAGUACAGCGCUAACAGUCGAUAAGCUCGAACUUCUGUCGAGGGGCUUGACAUUUCGUCCACCAUUUGAUACAUUCAAUGAAUUCGAACUUUACCAGACCCUUGAUAACUUUGCACAUAAUCUUCUCCUCUGAGUAUUCUUCCACAUCUGCGAAAAAAAUUUCAGCUAAGAAAACAUUGCUUGGCUCGUACAAAUCAUGGAAUCCAAGUGAGCAGAGGAACGAGCACCUUGACAUGUAUGUAGUAUCAGCGUUCCAAAAAAGAUAUAAUCGAAGCAUAUGCCAAAAGCAGGCCAAUCCACAACAGCUUAUCAAAUGCAGAACAGCGGGCACUCGAAGAGCUCUGCAGUGCCGCCAACAUUACGAACAAGCCAGAAGGGGGAUGCAUAGUUAUUCUUAACACGUCCGAGUGCUUAAGAGGAAGCUUAAGCUUAUCGCGGGAUUGAAUCCCGGCCGCGGUGGCCGCGUUUCGAUGGAGGCGAAAUGCAAA
rnacentral:lncRNA from 1 species